ensembl:lncRNA
UUUGACUUUGAAAAUAGGAUCUAGAUAUUCAGCACAGCAAGCAUUGGAUUUGAUCUCGUUCCCCACUCCGGACUAAUUAUGCAUUAUGUGGUGUAAACACAUUUACAAAUGAACAGGUCAAUCAAUUUUGUCCCAGAAAACAGAGUGUGUAUGCAGGGAAAACAGAAGACAUCUACAAAGACCUACAAACGGUUACUGAGAGCUGGAUAACAUCUGGCUGGGGGACGGAUUGAAGAGGCCUGAUGACCCAAAUCUAUGCUAAAGAGAACUACCAAACCUAAGCUAAAGAGAACUACCCAACCUAUGCUAAAGACAAGAACACUGCUGCCACAUUGUACUACAGAAAUUCAGUCAGAGAAUAGACAGAAUGUCUUAAAUAACUUACAAAAAAUACUAAGAUGUUGUGGUUGGUGAGGUUGGUAUUGUUGUAUUUUGUGCUUCUGUAUGCUUUGUAAGAAAGCUUGUUUUCUUGUUGCUUGUUUUCAUUACACAAAGGUUAUGUUAUAACCACUAAAAGUCAACACUUG